GCAGCCAUGGCCAAGUGGGUUAAGGCCUCGUGCUUAUAUUGGUCUGGACGAAAGUUCUGCUCUAUGCUCGCGGGAUUUAAAUAUCCCUGUCGAAAGACGUUGACGCGAAAAUCGGGAGUUCAAUCCUCCCUGGCUGCA
rnacentral:tRNA from 1 species